CGCCUUUUGAUUUACAAAUAUAAAAGGUCCUGCCUGCCCAGUGACUUGUUUUUAACGGCCGCGGUAUCAUGACCGUGCAAAGGUAGCGUAAUCACUUGUCUUUUAAAUAAAGACCAGUAUGAAUGGCAAGACGAGAGCCUAACUGUCUCCCUAGAUUAAUCAAUGAAAUUGAUUUUCCCGUGCAGAAGCGGGAAUAAUAAUAUAAGACGAGAAGACCCUGUGGAGCUUCAAACUUAAACUAAUAACCAUAAAAAUAUUUUAGCCUCCAGUUUUGGGUUGGGGCGACCACGAGGUAAAACACAACCCUCGAGACAAAUAAAGAAGGACACUUCAAAUAAACACAACAGUACAUUGACCCAAUAAUUGAUCAACGAACCAAGUUACCCCAGGGAUAACAGCGCAAUCUACUCAAAGAGCCCAUAUCGACGAGCAGGUUUACGACCUCGAUGUUGGAUCAGGACCCCCCAAUUACGCAACAGUUAUUAAAGGUUCGUUUGUUCAACGAUUAAAGUCCU
rnacentral:rRNA from 1 species